AUCAACGAAAGUCGCGACGACAACUCGCCUUUCACUUUUACGUCAUAAAAGUCAAGAGCUUCCACCUUAAAAUCGCGCCGCUCUCUAGACACGCCCCCGCCCAUCGGCACGCCCCAAAAUCGCGAAACAAUAUCCCGCCAUAUAGUCGUAUUCGAUGGGAAUGAGAACCGAAUUAAUACACAGAGAAAAAAUAAAGUGAAUCUAUUUGUUUUUAUUCAUUCAAAUAUAAUUAUCAGAUAUAAUUCGCUCGAACUACAUUUUAAUUGAAUUUGUCAAUAUGUUUUUUUCUUGAUUUAUUGCACACAGCAGAGCCGAACCCAACUUUCGCACAAUAAACGAACGCACUUGACUGAAAAUGUAAGCGAUAAUCCCCUGGAGCCACGACAUUUCAGGGAGGUGGAAAACGCGAGUAAUUGAACUCGGCAGAGUCCUGGAGCUGGGAUAAGUGGGUUGCAGAUGAGAAGAGAGGAAUGUGGAGCUCGGAAUGCAUAUUUAUGCGAAAGUUGCGCCUUUUUUUCCAGCUAGCUCCAUUCAAACAGUCGAAAGUACAGUGGGCCCAAGCCAAGGAAACCCGAAAUACAAAAGCUUUCAGAAUCAAAGAUAUACAACAUAUGUUGGAAAUGUGAUUAUAUAAUUACUCUUUGG
ensembl:ncRNA lncRNA:CR44231 long non-coding RNA:CR44231